GACGCUUUAGCUCAUCUGGAUAGAGCAACUGCCUUCUAAGCAGUAGGUAGGCGGUUCGAAUCCGCCAUGCGUCA
rnacentral:tRNA from 2 species